rnacentral:piRNA from 1 species
UGCUAUAAUGGGAAAUUGAAAUGGAUCA